rnacentral:rRNA from 1 species
GAUCCCGCCGGACCUGACUGCUAUCGGAUUGAUACUAAGCCAUGCGAGUCUUUGUAGCAAUACAAGGCAGACGGCUCAGUAACGCGUAGUCAACCUAACCUAUGGAUGGGAAUAACCUCGGGAAACUGAGAAUAAUGCCCAAUAGAACACUAUACCUGGAAUGGUUUGUGUUCCAAAUGAUUUAUCGCCGUAGGAUGGGACUGCGGCCUAUCAGUUUGUUGGUGAGGUAAUGGCCCACCAAGACUAUUACAGGUACGGGCUCUGAGAGGAGUAGCCCGGAGAUGGGUACUGAGACACGGACCCAGGCCCUAUGGGGCGCAGCAGGCGAGAAAACUUUGCAAUGUGCGAAAGCACGACAAGGUUAAUCCGAGUGAUUUGUGCUAAACGAAUCUUUUGUUAGUCCUAGAAACACUAACGAAUAAGGGGUGGGCAAGUUCUGGUGUCAGCCGCCGCGGUAAAACCAGCACCUCAAGUGGUCAGGAUGAUUAUUGGGCCUAAAGCAUCCGUAGCCGGCUCUGUAAGUUUUCGGUUAAAUCUGUACGCUCAACGUACAGGCUGCCGGGAAUACUGCAGAGCUAGGGAGUGGGAGAGGUAGACGGUACUCGGUAGGAAGGGGUAAAAUCCUUUGAUCUAUUGAUGACCACCUGUGGCG